GAUCCCUUAGUAUAGUGGUUAGUACCAAUCUCUUUCAAUGAUUAAGGACCAGUUCAAUUCUGGUAGGGAUCA
rnacentral:tRNA from 2 species